UACGUAGGUGGCAAGCGUUGUCCGGAUUUAUUGGGCGUAAAGCGAGCGCAGGCGGUUCUUUAAGUCUGAUGUGAAAGCCCCCAGCUCAACUGGGGAGGGUCAUUGGAAACUGGGGAACUUGAGUGCAGAAGAGGAGAGUGGAAUUCCAUGUGUAGCGGUGAAAUGCGUAGAUAUAUGGAGGAACACCAGUGGCGAAGGCGGCUCUCUGGUCUGUAACUGACGCUGAGGCUCGAAAGCGUGGGGAGCAAACAGG
rnacentral:rRNA from 1 species